rnacentral:rRNA from 1 species
UACGUAGGGUGCGAGCGUUGUCCGGAAUUAUUGGGCGUAAAGAGCUUGUAGGCGGUUUGUCGCGUCUGCUGUGAAAAUCCGGGGCUCAACCCCGGACUUGCAGUGGGUACGGGCAGACUAGAGUGUGGUAGGGGAGACUGGAAUUCCUGGUGUAGCGGUGGAAUGCGCAGAUAUCAGGAGGAACACCGAUGGCGAAGGCAGGUCUCUGGGCCACUACUGACGC